AUUGAACGCUCGCGGCAUGCUUUACACAUGCAAGUCGAACGGCAGCGCGGGCUUCGGCCUGGAGGCUAGUGGCGAACGGGUGAGUAAUACAUCGGAACGUGCCCAGUAGGGGGGGAUAGCUCGGCGAAAGCCGGGUUAAUACCGCAUACGACCUGAGGGUGAAAGCUGGGGAUCUUCGGACCUCUCGCUAUUUGAGCGUCCGAGGGCGGAUUCGGUAGUUGGUGGGGGAAAGGCCUACCAAGGCGACGAUCUGUAGCUGGUCUGAGAGGACGACCAGCCACACUGGGACUGAGCCACGGCCCAGACUCCUACGGGAGGCAGCAGUGGGGAAUUUUGGACAAUGGGAGAAAGCCUGAUCCAGAACUGCCGAGUGUGUGAUGAAGGCAUUCGGGUUGUAAAGCAAAUUUGGCGGGAACGAAAAGGACUGUGCCAAUACCAUGGUUCGAUGACGGUACCCUAAGAAUAAGCACCGGCUAACUCCGUG
rnacentral:rRNA from 1 species